CGUGAGCAACCUACCGAUUUCUGGGGGAUAGCCGGCCCAACGGCCGGGUAAUACCGCAUACGCUCUCUGAGAGGAGUCUCUUGGGGAGGAAACCUCCGGGGGAGAUCGAGGGGCUCGCGGCCUAUCAGCUAGUUGGCGAGGUAACGGCUCACCAAGGCGAUGACGGGCAGCUGGUCUGAGAGGAUGGCCAGCCACAUUGGGACUGAGAGACGGCCCAGACUCCUACGGGAGGCAGCAGUGGGGAAUCUUGCGCAAUGGCCGAAAGGCUGACGCAGCGACGCCGCGUGCGGGAGGAAGCUCUUCGGGGUGUAAACCGCUGUUGCCCGGGACGAAACGCCAUUUGCGAAUGGCUUGACGGUACCGGGUGAGGAAGCACCGGCUAA
rnacentral:rRNA from 1 species